UUAAAGUCAAGUGACCACAUUCAGAAUGUUGCUUUAACUUAAUGGCUUAUUCAGGACUCUGGUUACCUGUCUGAGUGAAGCAGCCAAAGGAAGGCAUUGAAGAGGAGCCUUCAGGGGAUUCAGUGGCUUUGCAAAUGUGCUAACUCCAAAGUGGAGUCAUGAGUUUGUGGUGGUUUGUAUGUGCUUGGCUCAGGAGAGGGCACUAUUUGGAGGUGUGGCCUCAUUGGAGCAGGUGUGACCCUGUUGGAGUAGGUGUGUCACUGUGGGCAUGGGCUUAAGACCCUCACACUAGCUGGCUGGAAGUCAGUCUUCCACUAGCAGCCUUCAGAUGAAGAUGUAGAACUCUCAGUUCCUUCUGCACCAUGCCUGCCUGGCUACUGACAUAUUCCUGCCUUGAUGAUAAUGGACUGAACCUCUGAACCUAUGAGAAUAAAGUUAUGGACUACCAUGUCAGGUUCUUAAGUAUUUCAAUUCCUAGGCUGGACGAUGAUGGUGUACGACGCCUUUAAUCCCAAGCACUCAGGAGGCAGUGGCAAGUGGAUCUCUGUGAGGCUGAGGCCAGCCUGGACUACAGAGUGAAUUCAAAGACAUCCAGAGCUACACAGAGAAACCCUGUCUCUAAACAACAACAACAACCACAACGACGACAGCAAAUUCAGGUGUAGUACCACAGUGUAGGCUGCUUUCAGGAAAUGCAAGGUUAGUAUCAAUUGGACUAAAUGGGUCACUUAGGCAUCAAUGGAAGUAAA
rnacentral:lncRNA from 1 species